GUCUACAGCCAUACCACCCUGAAUGCUCCUGGUCUUAUCUAAUUUCGGAAGCUAAGCAGGGUUGGGCCUGGUUAGUACUUGGAUGGGAGACUGCCUAGAAAUACCAGGUGCUGUCGGUU
ensembl:rRNA 5S_rRNA 5S ribosomal RNA